AGGCUGGCUGGCCAGGAAGCCACCGCCAGGAGGGAGCUGGGCAGACAGGGCCCAGAAGCAGGGCCGGCCUGGGGGUGGAGCCUGCACACUCUGCAAAGCUCCAGCCUGGCUCCACCCCUUCCCUGCCAGGAGCUGAAAAGGAUGACGUCACCCAGACUGAGGCCCUGGGCCGGGAUGGGCUCAUUAGCCGGGAAGCCGGCACCUGCAGGGCUCGAGGAUUUCCCGUGGUUGCCCCGUGAUGGAUCUUCGCUCGUCUCCUGAGGCCUGGUCAGCUCUAGGGGUCUCUGCUUUGGGGUCUUGGAGAUGGCGCCUGGCUAUUCAGACUUGAAGUCUGGGACACUGGUUCAUCACCAGAGACUAACGCCGCCGUGAGCAUCCUCCCCAAGCACGCAGCCCCUCCCCGUCCUGUGUCCGCGCCACCCCGCCCCCCCUCCGCCCAAUGCUCCUUUUCCGUGCUAGCGCUGGCGGCAGCUCCAUUUUUGUGAGGCUCCAUGGAGAAAGAUUAGAUCCCUAAUCUGACCAGGCAACAGUGAGCCCACAGCAAACCAGUGUCCCCCUUCCCUUGGGUCCAUGGCCCCUCCCCCACCCAAAACCCUGCUGGGUGCUUUGUGUUGCCGGCUUGCAGAGCAUAUGCUUGGCUGCUUGCUUUGUGUCUGCUGUUUAUCCCUCUCUUCCUACUUAACUUCUGUUUCUGCUUGGCCCAUCUGGCUCCUGUGGUACCUGCUUUUCACUCCCGUUGCGCUUCCCCUCCAAUGCGGCCUGCCCCCUAUUUACCACUUCCCUCCCAGGGCUUGGCUCUUGUCCACUCUGGGGCUGCUGGCAGGAGCUCUUGACCUGGAGUGUAGGAGCAGUGAGGGACUCCUCCAGCCUAUGGGACUGCCCAGAGGCACAGCUGGGGACCCUGACCUCGGGGUCACUGCGGUGUUCUGGAGACGCCCUUAGGGUGGGAAGUUGAGGCGGGUGGUGGAGGGCAGGUUGGGAGUGGCCUUUGGACUGGGGAGAGGGCUAGGUUCUGGUAGAAACCCUCCCCCGCCAUCUCCCCAGGUCCUUCUGAGCUUCCUUCCUACCAGAGGUGAUUCUUGGGGUCGGGUGGGGGUCACCCAAAUCAGAGUCUUGUAGAUACUGCUCUCUGUUCACGGCAGUGAUGGGAAAGUGACCUGUGAGUAGCAGCAGGAGAGGAUGAGGCCAGGGAAGGCCUGCAGUUCUGACCCAGAACCCCAGGGCACACAAGCUCCUUCCUGCUGAGAAGGGGCUGUGGCAGUCUGAUGGCUUGGGCAAAAGAGAAAAUGGUGGCAGCCUGAAGCUGCAGGAUGCUCACAGUGGGCUCAGAGGGGAGACAGAAAGGCCCUCUCCUUCACUAGCAGUGCUCUGCUGGGGGUCAGUCUCACCCCACACAUCACACUAGGCUCCACACUGCCUGAGUCAUUGCUCUGCCUCCUCCGCCCCCUCACCAGAUUGCACACUUGUGCAUACUUGCACACCCAGGUCAUGGCUCACACUCACCCCUCCAAUGUAGCCUGCUUCGUUCCUGGUGUGAUGUGGCAGCUCAUGGCUUCCUUGGGACUUGUGAGGGGGUGGUGGAGCCUGGAAGAGAAUGGAGGAGAAGAAAUGGGGCCCGACAGGGGCAGGGCUGUCAUUCAUCUGCCUCUCUGGACCUGGGUUGCUCCUCCAGGCUAAGGCUGGCUGCCGAGGAGGCAGAGCUGGGCCUGGAGUCAACAAGGAUCCACGUGCUUGGGGACCAUCGGCUGCUGCUCCCUGUAAGCAUCUGCUUCCCACGGAAACCUACAGGGCUUGGCUGCCAGGCCUCACUGCGUGCCCACUCCUCUGUGGCUCUGUUCUCUGUCUCGGUUGUUCCAUCUGCCCGCUCCACCAGCUCCUGGCACAGCUCUCUUGGCCUCGUUAUUUCUCUCCCAGAACCUUCUUCCUGCUCCUCAUUUCUUCCUGUCCUUUCUCCCUGUCUUUAUCCAGCCACAUUCAUGCCACUGUCCCUGAGGUCUUCCUCUUUUGUCUUUAUCCAUCAUUUUUCCUCUUGCUUUUCUGCUGUUUUUCUCCAUAUUCAUAUUCUCUGUCUCAUACAUAUUCAGUGGCUCCUUGAAAAUCCACCUAGAUUAUUCAAUGUGCUAGAAGCCUAGAUCUGCUUCAGGAAUAAAACUUCUUAGACUCUAACGCUAGGUCUCUGUCUCAGACACUAGUCUGGACUAAUUGCCUAGAACAUGUUGGUAGACCCACCUACCCUUCCACCCAAGUAUGCUCACUCUUUGCAAUGCCUCCUCUUCUGAUCUGGGACAAGGCAGCUGUGAGGUGUGCAGAAGCCAGACAGAUAAGCCACAGCACCUCGGUCAAGUGACACGGCAGGGGGUGCGGAGAGUCUGGGGCAAGAGUCUCCCUUUAAAGGGAUUUGAGGAGUUCAGUCCUGGAAAGAAACUUAGGACCCAACGUGUCCGAUCCUUGUGCUUGUACAAUCCUUUUACGUCCGCUCUGUUAUCCCCUUAUACCUCUCAUGGGAGGUUCAUAAAUAAGGAAACUACUGUCUUCGGACUAGAAGUUACUCCGCUGGCGCUCCCCAGCACCUGAGGAACAGAGCUGGAGUCAGAUUCUCCGCUUUGGGAUUUGCAGCCCUUGCCUGUGGCAGGUGAAUGAACAGAAGGAACUGGAAAAUGGCAGUUACAGGACAAGGAGAUGCGAGAGCUUCCCGAGGAAGCGGAGAUGAGGGAGCAGCGUUUGGAGAGGGCACAGUCUGCAGCGGGCCAGCUCGAGGACUGAGGCCCUGUCUCUGAGCUUCCCUGAUGACCCCUCCUUUGCACUCAGUCUUGCUUGGCACACCCACCUCUCUUUGCGUUUGAAGCUUCUGAGAACAAAGAAGACCAGGCAAUCUCUUCAAGAUGCCCCCCUGACUGUUUUGGCAGUGGAGUGGCCAGUGAUUCCUGCUGGGGGUCCUCUUCCUAUGGGAGCUUCCUGGGAGUCACCACCGGAAAACUAGAGCCCUGGGUCACAGAUGAGAUCCCUCUGCUUUCACACACAUGUUUUAAAAACAACGAUGCAAAGUGAUCAUCACAAUAGAUCCUGGGGUUCAGAGGAAAUUGAACUGCUGCUCUAAAACCUCGUGCUACAGGAUGCCUGGUGGUGGGGAGCACUUUUGGCCAUAAGAACCCUUAAGCCGAAAGCCCCAGACUGAGGCACGUGUUGUUUUGAGAGGUGAACAGGUCACCCCUGCAUGGUCUUAGGUCCCUCUGCUACCUGCUGGCACAUCAAUCAGAGAUGAGAUUUGCAGGCAGAGAGGUGCAAGUUCAAGUUUCAGCUUCACUACUUGAUUUGGGCAAGUGGUUUGACCUCUCUAAGCCUCAAUUUCCUAAUCUGUAAAAAGAGGACAAUACUUCACUCAGAAGGCUGCUUCAAAGAUUCACUUGAGAUAGGCACACCAUUUAAUCACCACCCAAUAAAUGGUAACAAGGAUGGUGCCUUUAGAUGAUGAUAAUGUUAAAUAGUACCUACAACUACACCAGUGAAUUGGUGGUCUUGACACUGUGGCAAGACUUUAACCAGCUUCAUUAACCUCUGACCUCAUCUGUCCCUUAGCCUCAUUUAAAUUAGACCCAGUGACCAGCAAUUCUCAAUCUCCAUCUCCAUCAGUCUCCAUCAGCCUGAGCUUCCACAGUCACAGCAUCUUCUGAAUGGUUCUACUGGAAGUGACCAGAUCCCACCUGGCUGCUGGCUCAUCUGAAACACAGCCAGUAGGUCUCCUUCCUAGGAUGAUUUCUUGGGCAAGGAGUUGAGAGCAGGAGGAGGGGCUGAGGUCCCUGGAAGAAGGAUGGGCCACUCUGUUUUGGGGCUGCUUCCUGAGAAGUUGGGCCCUCUGCUUGGGAGUUGGCUCAGACCUACGCCUGGCCUCUCAGCCUCCCAGGGAGCCUGCUCCAUGCAGGACAUGUGACCAGCCCUUUGCACUUUGUGCCCCUUGCCCACUCACAGCCAACCCUUUCACACCUCAAUUAGCCACUUAGGGAAAAGAAAGAGCGAGAGCAAGCUGGGGAAAUCUGUCCAGACCAUGAUGAAUACUUUCCCAAGCCUGCUGUUGCCAUGGCAGCCAGCUGGGAACACCGUUUCUAGGGCCUGAGGCGCUCAGACAUGCAUGGGGGGGCUGCCCUGCUGGGCUGCUGCCCACUUGCCUUCCCCCACCCUGGCCUCCUGGCUCCCUUAGCAACAGCCAUCACUAUUGCCAUCGCAACCACCACUGCAGCUCUGCACUGGCCGUGAGCAGUGUCCACGGAGCUCCAGGGGGAAGGUAGGGAGUGUGUGUGUGUGUCAGAGCCAAGGUAUGAAGUUGGAAAGGAAAAUGCUUGACAAGCUUAGCCAUGAUAAUUGUAAGGAUGCUUCUGUUAUUAUACUUUAGAAAAGAGGCUCAUAAACUUGGGGUCAAAUGGAUCCCUUGGUGAUCUGAGGGUCACCUCUGAACUUCUAAGAACAAGUUUGUGUGUCUGGGUGUGUGUGAAUUUUUCUGGAGAAAAGGUUUAUAGUUUUACCAGAUUCUCAAAGAUUACUAAGUCCCCAGUAGGUAAGAACCUUAGUUACAGAGCCUUUCGCUUUUCAGAAUCAGAAUUAUCUUAGGGACUGGUUGGUCGGGCAGGUUUGAGAGUUAGAAAACGAGUGAGUGCAGCACAAGGAGGCACACAGGGCACACGACCCAGGCCCCGGCCCCAGAGUCCCCCAGAUCUGCCGUCUGCCGCACUGUGGACUGCUAAUCUCUGCUGUUUACAGUGUGGCCGGCCCUGAGCUUGCCACUUUGCAGCCACUGUGCAUCUCAUCCCGUUUGACCCUCACACAACGCCAGGAGGAGGGUCCUCCUGCCACCACCACUGAGAAGAUGAGAAUGUUGGGACAACAAAAAGACUUCAGGGGUUGGCCCAGUUGUACAGGUAGAAGGCGCGGCUGAGUGGAGGGGUUAAGGGCAGGCCUUGGACCAGAGGGCCCAAGUCUGGCCCCAGUUGCACCCCUUAUUGUGGCCAGGCCUCUAUCACAGCUGCAAAUUGAAGAUGCUGAUAAUCCCAACCCCAAAGGGCAGUUUUGGGAGUUAAAGAGUUGACACUGUAUUGAAAAGUGCUUAGAACAGUAUCUAUUACCAAAUAAAACGGAGUUAAACAGAGCGGGAUUCACCCACAGGUCUGCCUGAUCCUAAAGCUCAUGUUCCACACGGAGGAGGUUUUCAAAGGUGUUUCCCAAUCCCAAUGCUGGGGCUGGAUGUGGUGGAGCAGAAGCAGACGAGCCCUGAACUUGGUGCUGCCCCUCACCGAGUGUGGGUGAGUUGUACAGGCUUUUGAAGCCUCAGUUUUGCCAUCUCUAAAGAACAGGGGUAAUGAAGCCACCAUAUUUUCUCAGGGGUAGUGUGUGUAAUAGGCACUGUUGACACAUGAAGAUGGAAGGAAACAGAAGCUGGGAAUGUCCCUUUAGAUGGAGCCGGGUUGCGGAAAUGCUCUCCUGACCCAAGCUGAGUGCUCGCCUGCGCCCCAGGCUUUGUGUGCCACCCUGGCCAGGGCUCAGGCAGGGGGCCCGGUGUGAUCCCCUGGAGGCAGGCAGGUGGCUUGGUGCCUUUGGGUACCCAUGUGCCUGGGUCAGCAGCCAAUAGGAGGGUGCUUAGGAAUUCCACAGAGGGAGCAGGGAGGCAGCAGGACCCAGCUGCCCCAGGCUUUGCUGGCAGGUGGAAGGGAGGCAGGUGUUGGUGUCAGGCCAGAGAGGAAGUGAGGGGGAGGGUGCGGGGUGAGCCAGGGAACGCCUCCGGGGCCAGGCCAGGCUGCAUGGCAUCCUUCUCUGUGAGGGGGUAAUUAGUGGAAAUGAGAAAAAGAUUUCUUAGUCACUGGAGAAACACAACAAGGUAUUAUCCAAUCACCUAAUGGCGGGUUCCUAGCCAUCCCUAGGCUCCUGAGGGGAGCAAUUUCAUGUCCUCUUUUCUUUUUGCCCCCAGAAGACUCAUGGUACUGAGAGCAGAUGGUGAGGGGGAAGAGGGCAGGUCCUUAUUCUUGAGUCACUUGGUGCUGGAUACCUUUCUGGGGUGCUGGGAAGUGUAGCACGCAGCCAGCAUCUUGGACAAAUAGGCAGCUGACGGCAAGGAGGCGAGGGUCAGACAAAGGAGGUGAUGCUGUGAAUGACUCGCGGCCCAGUCAGAAGCCAUAAUUGGCGGUGAUUAAUCUGUGGAGGAGAAGCCGCUGGGAGUCAUCACUGACUCAGGGCUGAGGCUGGCUCAUUGCUGCUCUGCUCUCCCUCCUCACCUUCCCCACUCGCAGCCUGGAGCGGGGAGGCUGUUUGAAAAGGUGAGUGAUUCAGAGGCAGUUAAAAAAGCAGCGUUUCUUAAACUGAGGAGCUUCUGAGACUCUGAAUGAAAUCUUUUCUUUUGCUUUUAUCUUUUACUUUUACUUUUCUAAUGGCAAUGUGAGGAGGUUGGAGGGUCUUCCCUGAGAACUAAGGCCAGGACCCCCAGAUGGACACUCCUAGGGCCCUGCCCAGGCAAAGCCAUGAUGUGCCCAUACCAGAAAAAGCGGGGGACUUGGGGAACUUCUCUGCUGCGAGAUGCUAAGCCAAGACUGUAUAGUUAAAGAGACCUGGAUUUGAGUCCCAGUAUGUCCUCACUAGCUCUGCCAGGUAGCUCAGCCUCUCCCAGUCUCAGGUUCCUCAACUCUAGACAGAGGGCAGGCAUUCUGCUCAUGGAGUAUUGUGGGAACCAAAUGAGAUGGGAUAAGUGAAGCGUUCAGCAGAGUGGGGACCAGACCCGGGAUGAAAGCAGCGAAUUCUCUUUCCCAGGCAGAGGCAACACUACGCAUGUGCCUUCUAAGAAGAAGCAUUAACUUUUCUUCCAUUUCUGUCUUCUUUUUUCCAAAGAGAAAUAAGAAAACCUGACAGGCGGAACCAGGCUUUGAUCAUGCAUUGUUGUCACAACGGAAUGGAUGCGUGACACGAAGAUGCCAAAAAAAUAAAGUAAAUAUUUAAUAAAAGAGGCCAUUUUAGUAUUGGCAAACACCUUUGGGGUAGGUAUCAGAGGGCACAUAACUUGAAAAUGCCCAGCUGUCUUUUGACGAGACCUACUGGUGCUGCUUUCUGGUUUGGGUUCAGGUUCUUGGAAAUUAGAAGUCAGGAGACCGUGAGCAUCCAGAAGAGCAAAGCGUAGAAUCCUCAAGGUGCUUUAGUCCGUCUGCUUUCAUGUUGUCACUCAGGGGCGCUGAGCAAAUUGUCUCGUGGGGUUGGGACUAGAUCCUGGAUGGAUUCAUCAAAGGCUCCAUGUCAAGCUGGGCAACCCCAAACGUAUGCCUUAAAAGAAGGUCUAAUUCUCUUUCAACAUUUCUUUAUCCCAAAGAGGAAGAAAAUUUGACUAGGAAGAAGCACGAGGAUUAGAUUUUGCAUGGUGGCCAGAAUGCAAAGACGGGGCGAUUGACAUGAGAUGCAAAUGCACAAAAUUAGGAUGUCAUUUCUUUAACCUCAUGGACACGUAAGUCAGAGACCAUAACAUUCCCAGAUGGAGCUCCACAGCUCCGCAAGUGCCCCAGAGCUCUUGUGAUCCACAGCUGAGGGUGGCCCACCCAAGGGAGUUCAGAUUCUGCCAGAGCUCACCCUGCGAUGCUCUUUCACCAUUCCAUGUUUCGUUUGUUCCCUCCUGCCCUAAUACGGCCCCUGACUGCCUGACUCUUCUGGGGACUUCUGCCAUGAGCUGGCCUGUUCAGCAGGUGCAAACAAUUUAUGCAGAGUUUUCCUCCCACUCCCCGGUUAAUUAUGAAAUCAAGAAGAACAAAGGUCAGUUUUUCAGGACUAUCCCUUGGCAGGUCUGGGCUUCAGGCCCAUCUGCAUUCUGGAUGCAGACUGCAUCCAGAGCAUUCUGGUAGCCACAGAGCUCUGGAAAUCAGGAUGAUUUAACCAUCAGAUUGGGUACCCAAGUAACCAAGAUCUUUACCCCUAGAGACCAUUAGAACUAAAAUCCCAAUUUUUACCCCUAACUGGAGGCAUGCCCCUCCCUGGUGGGACAGGCCUGCUGGCCUAUGAUGCAUCCUUCUCCACUCCCAGGAGUCCAGUUCUUCUCUCAAAGUCCCGCUCCUCACACACUUCAGCCUCUGCCAGCCACUGGACAAUCAGCAGCACCCUCCUGUGAAGCCGCCUCCCCACUUAUCAUUCAUGGACUGCAGCCUCUCGCCAUUUACCACAUGGCCAACAACAAUCAGCAUAUAGAUUGAGCUGUGAAUAUAAGAAGAGCAAACUAAAAACGGAGAAGAGAAUGUUAUAGAGCCGAGUUGGCCUCUUCUGGGGAGAAGAGAGCUUCUCAGAGGAGGGUUGAUCAGUUGCCUCUGCCACUGGGCAAAGGGGAAGGGGAAGAGUUUUAACAGGAGGUUUGAUCACUACGCUUGCUCUGCAGACAUAUAGGCUCAGAGACGGAGGAGAGGGGAAGGCCUAAGCUGGGCCCAGGCUGCUGGCCUUAUUCUCUGUUUCCUUCCUCCCUCCCUCUGUCGGUCAGCAAGCCGGCAUUCAGAAUGUAUCUCCUUGCUGAGAGGAUUCCUACGGUCUAUCUUUAUUUGCAAUUUUGGGUCUUGUUCUUCCUCAGAUCCGCCAGCUCUGAAUUUCUGCUACAAAAUAUGUCUUUGCUGAGUCUCGUCACUAUAAGGCAUUUAAGAUGCAGUGCUAGUCCCCCUUGUGUGGGGCACAGGGUCACAUUCGAGGUGGGGAGCUUGAGGGGCAUAGAUUUAGAAUAUAUAUUUGGGAUUCCAGACUAGGGAACUUACGCCUCAUGAGAUGCAAUGGUUUGCCAAAGAUCUUGCUCGUUGGUGGAAGAGCAAGAAUAGAACUCAGGUCAUCCAACUCCUGGCCCCUCCUUUUGCCGACAGAGCCUUCUCUAGGCAGGGAGCUCUGUGGACUAUAUGGCUGCACAGCUCUGGUAGCUGAGCAGCAGCCCUGCCAAGCUUUGUUGCCUCAAACCCUUUUCAGACAUCCUGUGCCUGGCACCAAGGGUCCUGUGCAUUCUGAGGUCUGCCCUGGCCUCACAUUGUCUGGGGGAAACAUGAGUUAGAGUGACGCUUUGGGCAUUAAGCCUAGAUAAGCAUCCCAGACUGUGCAAAGUCCGAGCUCUGAAUGAAGUCACAAAUAUCUUUUGCUCUUUGACCCUCCUGGUCUUGUUGCUUGAGCUCCAGAUCCUCUUCCUCUCAGUCUCCUCGAUUUCUCCGGCAUCCGGGGCAGCUCAUGAUUUUCCCAGGGAUUGCUGUCAUUUCCUCAUGCUUGGACUUGUCAUCAUCACUGCUCCCACAGCUGAUUUUCAGAGUGCUUCCUUUCCCCGUCUCCGCCUUCAUGGUGCCUCCUCCACUCCACGUGUUGCUCCUUUCAGUGCUCUGCACAGCUGCUCUGUCCUUAUCAGAUGACUCUCUUCUUCCCAAGCUGGAGGAGAGCAUAGGAAGCCUCCCUAGUGCCCAGAGGUAGGGCAGACAUCUCCCAGCAGACCAGACACCCUCUGGCAAUGUGAGCCACAUUCAACAAACUUCUAUUGCAUACCUGCGAUGUGCCAGGUACUGUGCCAGAUGCUGGGGUAUGCUGUCACCUAAAACUGGGUCCCUACCCUCAGAGGAGUGCUCAGUUGAAGCAGUCAAAUAAAUCAAUGGCUUCACUAUAACAUAAUGGGCCUAUGUUGGGCCACAGUGAACCUAUGAGAAAGGACGUUUUAUUUAAAAAAAAAAUGGAGGGACAGUCAAGUCAACCUGGGGAGCGGGAAGCUCUCAGAGAAGGUGGUGAAGGAGCAUUAGAGGUCGAAUAGGGGUUAGCUUGGCAAAUAAGGCUUGGGGAAAGGGCAUGAGAGAAGGCUGCUUCUGUUCCCACCUGGGAAAAUGAAAAGGGGAAGAUCACUGGGCAAGUGUCCAGUUGCCUUGGAUUCACUGGAAAGCUUUCUACCCAGUAGAUGGCUGGGCUCCUAGUGAGCGAUAUUCUCACCAGGGAGAGGGUGUUAUGGUAGAAAGAGCUCUCCAAUAAGGAAAGUCAAAAGACACAGAUGUGGACCUUGGGUCUGCUGUGAACUAGCUAUGGAAAGUCACUGAAACUUACCUCAUGAAAAAUGAGAGAAUUGGACAAGAUGACCUCUAAAAUCCCUUCCAGCUCUAGAACUAUUCUCUUCCUUUAAAACAUUUGAGAAAAUCAAAUAAAAACAGAUAAGAUUCGUACACACUAAGACCUGCUCCUAGGAAGUCGGAUUAGGGGUCAUUAAAGAUGGUGGUGAGAGAACCCGCCCCUUCCUGGUGGGUAGAUUGGGCUGGAAGGGAAAAGAAAGGCUCAUUCCCCUUUGUCAGGUUGGGAUUCCCUCCGUCUAUGAGCAGGAGGACAUUGGGGCCAAAAAACCACAACUGAUUGAGAUGCCAGCGGGAACUCUUCCUGUCACGAUGUUUCACUCCAGCGCCUUCAUUUCUAUUAUUAUACCAAGUGAUUUAUUCCAAAAACAUAAAACAAGCAGCAAAAGAGUAACUGGCUCCCUAAGGAGAGGUCUCUUCCUCUUCCUCUUCCCUGCAAGCUGUCUCCCAUGAAAGUGCCUGCCUUAUGCUGAGCCUAAGCCCACUCUCUGUGGGAAGAGCUGCGGGGUGGUUAGGGAGAGGGGAACUCAAGGUGCCAUCUUUAAGUCUGCCCAGAAUACUUGGCCUUCACAGUUCUGAUCAGGCAGUUCUCUCUACAAGUUUCUGCUGUAAUGUAUUUGAAACCUGGGUAAACAUCAUUCUCUGCCUUGUGCUGUAGUUUUCUCAUCUCUUAAAUGGGGAGCAAAAUUCUUGACAGCUUUCCUUUACAAGACCAGGGAGAUGCUAAGACUUCAGUCCUGGCCAGAUGAUUGGUUGGAUCAAACCCAUGCCCUCUCUCCUCUGCUUGUUGGUAUCCCCAUCUGGAGAAGAUAAACACAGCCGUGAGCAGUGCCCCUUCUCCCACAGGGCCAUCGUGGGGGUGCCUGUUAUCGUUACUCCCCAAACCAGGGGGCUAGCAAGAGAAGUGCUUUCAUGGAAAGCCUGAGGGCCACCUGCUAAGUCUUUGAAAACUAAAAGCGUAGUUUUAAGAAUCCUCCCAAUAAUUCACUUUGCCUGGCGGCUUCUGACUGACAUGGAAAUUGGUUAAGGUCAAGCAGAGCCCUGAGUCAUGUGGGGGGGUGGGAUGGGCAGAGCAUGUUACCAUGACGUCCUGGGUAAUCACUUCCUUCUCGGAAUUCAGGAGGACAUUUUGCUUGUACAGUUCCCUCAUUUGUCACUCAGCAUAUGCUAUCUUAUAUUUUAGAGAUUUAAAAAAAAUAUAGCCCAUCUAUAUUUUAAGCCUUUCAAGGGAAAGAGUAGAGUGAUACAUAGUAGGUUUUGAAUAAAUGAUUGGUUUUGUAGUAGAUGAUGAUUAUAAUCCUAGCUUCAAGAUUUAUGAAUCUAUGAAACAAACAUAAUUGUGAAGUUAGACCAUAAAAUGUCUUAAAGUCCCGGGCCAACUUCCUCACGGACUUACAUGGCAGAAGUUACAAUAGUUUGUCUUUAAGAUCCUUAAAGAUGUGUAUAUGAAUGGAAGAUCUACAUCUUUCAUCAUUUGAUUCUCAUUUUGCAAGUUGCCCGUGAUCACACAGUUAGUAGUGACAGAGCUUGAUUAGAACACCAUCUAAUUCAAGGCUCAUUUUCUUUCUACUACAUCAUGAUUCCUCUUGGUGUGUGGACAAAGGCAGUGAUUUCCCGACAGUUCCGUGAACUCUGUUAUGGAUCAGGAGACUGAGGCUACAGAGGAGAAGGGAACUGCUCACAGUGACCCCGCUGCUUACAGGAAACCACAAAGACAGGAAGAUGGCUCGAGACAUAUGGUGGAAACCAAUUAAAACCAGUUGAAGGCAACAUGGCAGUCUGAGUUGACCUGACAUAGACCCCGCAGCUCAUUAUACACUCACUGUGAUAUAUUACCAUGCUCCGUAACACACCCACCAAUGCCAUGACAGUUUGUAACCAAAUAAGGAAAGAAAAGAGGUGGCAUCCUUGUUCCCCUGAAAAGCCUGCCCAUUUCCCCAAAUAACUAUGAAUAUUCCUCCUCUUCAUUACCUUGACCCCUGAUAACAACUGCUUAAUGGCCCCAAGAGCUGAGAAGUUGGUUUGUUAACUUAAGUUCCCACUUCUCCAUUCAUGGCCAUUGAAUAAAGCUUGUUCUGUUGAAUGCUCAGCUUUGGUUUCGCUUCAAAUCCACGACACUGAACAGGAAAGACCCUUCUGAGGAAGGGAAGGAUUGUGGGUACAAGGCCCACCCAUGGGCCUCUGCUCAGAGCUCCUCUGAAUGUGGGUUGGAGUCCCACCGGAGUGAGGUGAAAUUGCUAACACUUUCCUCUUGCCAAAGAGAACUCCCUGCAAAGCAAUAAAAUGGCAGUGAGCUUUGAAGAGGGCUUUCUAACCACCAAGAAGCCAGUCCUGGAUUUUGAUGCUGUGUCAUUUAGCACAGUUCCUUUCCCACCAACUGUCUGCUAUGACACCAUGGAGCUAAGUAGCAGAGCUGCUGAAAUAACAGUCACGGGAGAGGGAAAUUAAGACACAUCAGCAAGGGAAAAAGAUUCUUUUAAGCAAGGAGGGGAAUAGGACAGCAACCGAUGAAACAGAAGCAAGAUGUCUGUUCCAGGUGGAGAGAGGCAGAGAAGUCUUUUGUGUGGCAGCUGAGUCAGAGAUGCAACAGAGAGUGCAACAGCCUGCAUUAACGUGGAGCUUAUCAUAAACAUUCACUUAUUGAUCACAUUGCCACCCUAUGCGAAGAGGCUCAUAGGAACCUUUAUUUGACUCUAGGGGGCUAAGCACAUGGCUUACGAGCUUGGAAGUUCUGACUCUUUAAUUUCAACAAGAGAAGGCUGGAGUGGAGGAGAAGAGAAAAGGCCACAGGGAGGGUUAAUUUGCCUGCUUGACGCCUGUCAUUUCACAUGUGAGAAAGAGUGGUGAGUUCUCAUAAGGAAGGGCAGACACGCAUCUAUUACUCCAUUACAAUGCUUUUUGACAAGGCUGUGCAUCUCAAGCCAAUGUAUUUGGUCCAAAGACACAGCAAUGGGUUUUCCAGGUGGAGGAGGGCAAUGUCGAGCAGGUACUUGGCACGAAUGUUUAAGUAGGGAACGGUUGUAAUAAGACCCCGCCGUGCUUUCAGCCCGAGUGACUGCUGCUCUGCAGCAGGAACAUCUAUCACUGGCAGGGAGCAGCGUGUCUACCUCCCUGUCACCUGCCUCAUGUCUAAAAGAGACACUAAAGAUCUGGCCACGGUGGGGUCCAUGUCUCCUGGCUCAUGUUGCGAUUUGUCUAGGAGCAUGAUGAAUAUGCACGUUUCCUCUGACAUAAUCUUUUCUCCUCCUUGGACAGGCAUCUACACAUGUCCCCUUGUCUCUCCCCAAGUCUCCAAAUGGAGGAAUGUUCUCAAAAGAAGGUCUUGAUUCUCGCUGUACUUUCUUCUCUCUGUCCUCCUCCUUUCUUCCCCAACCCUCACCCUUUCCAGUAACCCCCACGGAGUGAAAGUCUCCCUGUCAGUCUGAUAGCCACUGUUAACAAGGGUGUUCUGUGAGCCUGCAUGCUGCCUGGCCAUGAUCUAUUCUUCUUUGUGCAUCAGAGGGGUCCAAGACUCCCCCACAGGUAAUUGAGAAAAUUGACGUGCCCGUUACUAGUGAUGUGAACUUACAAACCCUGGGACUCACUGAUUAGAAUCAAAUUCUUCUCAAGCUGGAUGACCUUCAGAAUUACACAAUGUUAGAGCUUGAAAGGGUCUUAAAGAUUUUCACCUAAACUCCUUCUUUAAUAGAAGAGGAACCUGAAGUGCAGAGACGUGACAGGAAUUGUCACUUAAAGUUACUCCUUCCUCAACGUUCUUCCCACUACUCCAACUCAUCUUUACCUCACUCUACCCUCACUCGUAGGUAGAACUGCUUUUAAGCCAUCUCUCCUCUUUCUAAACCUCUUAUAAGGGAAAGUGGUUUUAAGCUUGGUAUGUAGAAGAUGAUCAAAGCAUCACUUAAUCUCUUAAGACAGGACAUGCUAUCCUAACAUCAGGAAAGUCUUUCCAUCUAACUUUUAUUUGUUUUGCUGCCAUGUUUCCUAAACUUUUUCAGUAAAUAGAGAGGAGAGGAGUCCCACCCUUAUGUAUUUUCCCAUAGGUGUCAAAUAGGCAAAUUUAUCCUCCCUGUGGUCUUGUCUCUUCUCCUCUGGUCUUGCCUUUUCUUGUUGAAGUUAACAAAUCAUAACUUCCACAUGCAUAGGCCGUAUUCUUAGCCUCCUAAAGUCAAAUAAAGGUUAGUCCAUUGGAGAACUGACUCUUUGCCUAAUGACAAAAAAGUAAUAUCGAUAAAAGCUUUCUCUUUUAUUUCAUGCCAAAGUUCAGGUUGAUUUAUAGGCUAGAUCCAGCCUGGCUUCUGGCACUCAAGCAUGUCAGAGAGGAAAACUGGGACAGAGAGCAAAAUAGAGAGCCUCAUAAGUGGGGGCUGUAGAAUAAACAUGUAGUAGGCAAGUUUCGGGAGAGCUCCCCAAUUUUGUACUCUGUAGUUCUUGAUAUGUGCCCAUAAGCAUCUUAAAAAGCAUUUGAGAAACUGCCAAAAAGCCAAGCUAAAAAUACCCUUGGAACAGCGUAAUCAAGAAGAAGUACAGAGAUGGGUGUGAGCUCUCCAUGGAAGGUGUGAGACUCAGAGCAUGGGAGCCAGACUGCAGUGCACAUCUCAGGCUCUUGUCUAGGGGACUGAACCAUGAGGCAGUCUGAUGUGCUUGGGGAGGAAUGGAUGCAUCUGCUUUCAGACUCUGUUUUCUUUUUGAAUCAGUCCAGCCCAAUAGUGUAGCAAGCGUGUCUAAUGAGCACCUAUUAUGUGCCUUAGGAUUAAAAGUGUGAAAACACACCCACUCCUCAGGAGAGUUUGAAACCUUCUGAUGACUCCCCAUUGCCCUUUGUAACACUUAUAAUUUGGCUUGAAUGGCUUCUGGGUUCUCUGUCUAACUCAGUUUCAGGAUCCUACUUCUUCUAACACUUAAUCAUGUGUCUCUGACAAAUAUUUUCUCUAAUCUUCUUUUUCCAGUUAUGAACCUUCUGUUCCCAAUUAUUGGGAACAUUUUACCGUCAGCACAUUCCCUCCCUCUCUCCUGGGGCUUCCACCAGUAGUUUAAAAAUACUCAGACUCUUGCUUUCUGGGAAUAGGAUCCCACUUCUUUAACCUUUCUACCCAAGAUAUUUCCAAACUUCAUAAGCCUUCCCUCAAGCUUCUCUUAACUUGGGGAGCAAAGAAUUGGCCAGAAGAGUGAUGGUGAGUGUGGGACAGUCUUGCUUUCUGAGGGUACACCCAGGACUGUGUUUUCCAUGUUGAUGGAAAACAUGUUGAAUCGUGUACUUGUUCGUAUUUUUAAAUAAAAAUUGUUAUUUGAGACAAAGACUUGUCUUGAGGAAUCUAUAGUCUAAAGACAGACAUCACGACAUGGGCAACCAUCCACAGGACACAAAGAACCAAGUUUUAAAAAGUAACUUGAGGCAUUAAGUGUUUAUAUCAUGCAUAGAUCAAGAUGAGGAAACUGCAUCGCAGAGAAUAAACAACUUAUCCCACCUCCGUCAAAAAGACGCAGAAAUAGGAUUUGGACUCAGGACUGUCUGACUCCAAUUCAAGUGCUUCCCUCACUGUGACAUGGGUACCUGGUUCCAUCCUCCCUAGAAGCAGUCAUACAGCACAGUUCCCAGGAAGGCAAUGAUGUCCAUAGGAAACGUGGAGGCCUAAGUACGUUGGAAGGGACACAACUAGAGUCCAGGAUCAUGGAAUUGGAUGCAAUUCUGGG
rnacentral:lncRNA from 1 species